UACAGAGGGUGCUAGCGUUGUUCGGAAUCAUUGGGCGUAAAGGGCGUGUAGGCGGUUUGUUAAGUCAUGUGUGAAAUCCCUCGGCUCAACCGGGGAACGACGCAUGAAACUGGCAAGCUAGAGUACCAAAGAGGGGGGUGGAAUUCCCGGUGUAGCGGUGAAAUGCGUAGAUAUCUGGAGGAACACCGGUGGCGAAGGCGGCGUUCUGGACUGCAACUGACACUGAGGAACGAAGCCAGGGAGC
rnacentral:rRNA from 1 species